AUUGAACGCUGGCGGCAUGCUUUACACAUGCAAGUCGAACGGCAGCGCGGGGCAACCUGGCGGCGAGUGGCGAACGGGUGAGUAAUACAUCGGAACGUGCCCAAUCGUGGGGGAUAACGCAGCGAAAGCUGUGCUAAUACCGCAUGAGAUCUACGGAUGAAAGCAGGGGACCGCAAGGCCUUGCGCGAAUGGAGCGGCCG
rnacentral:rRNA from 1 species